rnacentral:lncRNA from 1 species
CUGGCAUGACGUGACACUUCCUACGGCUCCCAUGGGCUCUCAGAAGGCGGGAAAAAGCUGAACCAUGUAAUUCCAUCCCCAGGAUGAAACACAUUAGCGCGUUUGGCUAGUGCUCUAUCAGAGGGCCAUUAGACUGAGGCUCGUGCAUGAGGGGAUAGCAUGCUUUUACUUUCACUCUCUUUGUAAUAAAAAACGAUUUCCCGGUCGGAAUAUUAUCACUUUUUUACGAGAAAAAUGGCAUAAAAAUGGAUUUUAAACAGCGGUUGACAUGCUUCGAAGUACGGUAAUGGAAUAUUUCGAUUUUUUUUGUCACGAAAUGCCCCAUGCUCGUCACCCUUAUUUACCCUUUCAGAUAGUGUCUUGAACGCACGAACAAAACGCCGCUAUUUGGAUAUAACAAUGGAUUAUUUGGGACCAAACCAACAUUUGUUAUUGAAGUAGAAGUCCUGGGAGUGCAUUCUGACGAAGACAGCAAAGGGUUGCGGAACUGGUGGUAGUGAAGUCAGACGCAGGAGAGCAGAAAUAGGUACUGAGACAGACAUCGACAAACUCCACCAAAUGGAAAAUGAACAAAUAGGCCUGUGUUCUGGUCUGGUUUGGGACUUGGAGACAGAAACAGCUCUGUUCCUCGGAGAAUCUCAAUUGGUUUUGAUUGACUCCUCGCGUCCUCUCCUCAACCUCUCCUCGCCUGCUUUUUAAAAAGGUGAUCCUGGUCACAAAGGGGUCAAGGAGGUGACAUCCGUCACUGGGGAACAGCGAAAAAUACCCUAAACUGCCCGACUCCUCCCCUCACAGCAGCAGCAGAGCGAUGACGGCCUUGUCUCAAAUAAGGGCCGAUCUAUUGGUCUGAUUUGUGGUCUGCGGAACAAUUUCAAUACCCGUCCUUGCACUGAUAGAUGAGGCACCCGUUUGAUAAAGGGCCAAUUUGCCACAGGGGCAAUAGGGAUGGAAUUGCAUCGAUGUCCUUUAUUUUGUCUGCUCCUCAAUAUCGAACAAAACAGGAUGGAAAAAAAGAAUGUGCAAGCAGGCAUAGUAAAAGGAGGUUUCGAUUGUAAUAUAGUUCUCUUAUCUGUGCCCCAGGCCUCAGGUGUGUUCUCUUUUUAUGACUUCAAACUUUAGCAAAAUAAGAGGGGAAAUACUGGAUGUUUUGGUUAUUGGAUCAUAAUUUGACAGGUAACAACUUCACAGUCAAAACAGAAGUAUGUCGUUCUAUCAAUUCUAAAAGGUUAUGCAGAUUACUGUAACGAUGCAGCCUAGGCUAGACCUAUUUCCCUGGUAUUUGUUAUCUCGGGCUGUCGCAUGUUAUUAAAGUUGCCUAUUUAUUCAUGUUCAGAUUAAAGCUCACAUUUGUAUGCGUUAGCAAUAGUGGUUCUUUACAUUCAUUUUUUUUACCUUUAUUUAACUAGGCAUGUCAGUUAAGAACAAAUUCUUAUUUACAAUGACGCCCUACCCUGGCCAAACCUGGACAACGCUGGGCCAAUUGUGCGCUGCCCUUCGGGACUCCCAAUCACAGCCGGAUGUGAUACAGCCUGGAUUCCAACCAGGGACUGUAGUGAAGCCUAUUGCAUUGAGAUGCAGGGCCUUAGACCGCUGUGCCACUCGGGAGUCCAUACUUAGACCAUGUCAUUUCGUUGCUUAUUUUGCCUAAAAACCAAUGUUUAGUUCGUAAUAUUUCUACCAGUAGACUACUCACCAUCUUGAGAAUCUUAUGUUGGGUGCUCUUCUAGUCUAGGUAGACCAUCCCCUUCUCAUGUACUACUUUACCUGUGUAGUGUGCACACAUGGUUUGGGAUAAUCCAUUCCGAAAUGUCAGUGACAAACCAUUACGUUUUCUGCUAAUUUAAAUGCAUUAUACUAUUUUCAAUUAACAUGAUUUUUUUCAAAUGUAAAAUAAAUGUUUAUUGUGUCCUGUUUUGACAUAUAUUUUAGUUUAAUUUGUGGAUCCACCUGUUGGUAGUAUAUCCUACAUGAGACCAUUUCCUUUUUCGGCUGUUUAAUGGAGCGAUCAUGUACUCAUAGGAAGAUAGAAACUGAGAAGUCAUAAGUCUGACAUAAUUGAGGUUAAGUGCUUUUGAAAUCGGACCAAUUCUUUAACCAAUACGCUUGAUAAGUUAACUAACGUUGCUAAUAAUAAUGUUAGUUAGCUUGCUUAACAUUGACAAUAUGGUCAAACUAGCUACAUCAUCCACAUUGAUAAUGUAGCGGCUGUAUUGAUAGUGUAGCUAAUGUAACUUGCAAUGUAUCCACAUUGAUCACAACUGAGCAACUCGGGUAACAUAAUUUUCUCUGAGUGUCCCACUUGCAAUUACGACGUGGAUAGUAGUUCAAGUAAAACUUCCUAGUCGGAACUCCGAACUUACAAUAACUCUGACAGCAUGUGAACGCCCCAUAUGUCAUUUUUCCUUGUAAGUCAUCAUUUGCACUGCGUGCCUACAACACUGUAAAUAAAACCUUCCUUUUUUAUCACACUAGUCCGUCGGGUCUCCAACUAUGUGCUACAAAAUCUAACUAACUAGGCUGCCAGGUCUCCUAGAAUUCAUAUGCAGAAUACAAUAAUACCAUAUUUGGAAUGUCUCAGUGAAUAAUAAUGGUUUUCCUCUGAUUUGAUACCCAACUUCUUACAAUCACUGUCUUGUGUACCCUCUCCCCGUCAGCUUUGAUAAUCAUUAACAAAAACUUUUUUCAAACCUAUGCAACCAAACCUACACAAUCAAAGGAGACACACUCAGAAGUGGUUCAAAUUAUUUAUGAAUAUAAUGCAUAGAUACAUCUCUAAUCAUCUGCUCUCAUUUCACAUUGAAGUGGUGCCUUGCAGAAGGCGAAUUAGCAUUUCUGUUCAUAAUACAGGAAGCAGUUUGACUCAUAGGUCCUUGGAGAGGGACCAGGGCACAUUUUGUUUCCCAACACUGUUGCUAAGGAACCUGUUUAAAAACACAUUUUUAAAAGGUGAGACCUCUGACACCGCUCACAAUGAAAAUUAAAAUAGGCUGAUUUUGUUGGUUUAAUUCAUUUCGAAUAAAUUAUAAUAUCACACAGGGUCUUUGUUGCCUACAAUGUCCUCUCCGGGUUUCCAUAGGUUUAUGGGGACUUGUUCUGCAUAAGUGGUAUGACGUAAUGGGAUGAAGGGGGGUUUGAGUCUGAG